ACGGACUGAAAUACACAGGACUGAGCAAAUGAACUAGUUACAGCUGGGUACAAUCGGGAGAAAACACGUGGGUAAUCAGGGGGCGUGGCACACAGGAGGAGCGGACGAGCCGGGCAUGACAGAACCCCCCCCCAAAGGCACGCUACUCCGGGCGCGCCAAGGAAGGGGGCGACGGACGGGACGAGGCAAAACAGGACCUGAAAAACAAGAACAGAAUCAACGCAGGACGGGGAACAGGACCGAAGCACAAAACAUGGCAAGAGACAGAACGUAGGACAGGAGCUGACAAAGGGCUGGGAAAGCGGAGAGACAGAUCUGUCACGGGAGAUCGCGGGCAGAGCGGCGAUCGUGCGUGCAGGCGGGCAAGGACAGGCAGACAAGCAGAAAUCGGGGCAAAGUACGGGGUUUAAUUGGGGACACGGAACUACGAACACUGACUGACAUCAAUGACGGACGAAGGACUCAGGAGGAGCGGACGAGCUGGGCAUGACAGAACCCCCCCCCAAAGGCGCGCUACUCCGGGCGCGCCAAGGAAGGGGGCGACGGACGGGACGAGGCAAAACAGGACCUGAAAAACAAGAACAGAAUCAACGCAGGACGGGGAACAGGACCGAAGCACAAAACAUGGCAAGAGACAGAACGUAGGACAGGAGCUGACAAAGGGCUGGGAAAGCGGAGAGACAGAUCUGUCACGGGAGAUCGCGGGCAGAGCAGCGAUCGUGCGUGCAGGCGGGCAAGGACAGGCAGACAAGCAGAAAUCGGGGCAAAGUACGGGGUUUAAUCGGGGACACGGAACUACGAACACUGACUGACAUCAAUGACGGACGAAGGACUCAGGUAAGACACGGACUGAAAUACACAGGACUGAGCAAAUGAACUAGAUACAGCUGGGUACAAUCGGGAGAAAACAUGUGGGUAAUCAGGGGGCGUGGCACACAGGAGGAGCGGACGAGCCGGGCAUGACAGAACCCCCCCCCAAAGGCGCGCUACUCCGGGCGCGCCAAGGAAGGGGGCGACGGACGGGACGAGGCAAAACAUGACCUGAAAAACAAGAACAGAAUCAACGCAGGACGGGGAACAGGACCGAAGCACAAAACAUGGCAAGAGACAGAACGUAGGACAGGAGCUGACAAAGGGUUGGGAAAGCGGAGAGACAGAUCUGUCACGGGAGAUCGCGGGCAGAGCGGCGAUCGUGCGUGCAGGCGGGCAAGGACAGGCAGACAAGCAGAAAUCGGGGCAAAGUACGGGGUUUAAUCGGGGACACGGAACUACGAACACUGACUGACAUCAAUGACGGACGAAGGACUCAGGUAAGACACGGACUGAAAUACACAGGACUGAGCAAAUGAACUAGAUACAGCUGGGUACAAUCGGGAGAAAACACGUGGGUAAUCAGGGGGCGUGGCACACAGGAGGAGCGGACGAGCCGGACAUGACAGUCUCGAUACACCCCUAUAUCUUUUUUUUGGGAAUAUGGUGGGGUGCAUGGGAUUCCGCCGUCUGCCAGCGGUGGGGAGCUCGUACCCUGACCACUUCCUCACUUUUAAUGUACCGCAGUUUUGAAUUGCAUACACUUCUGUUCACACACACAUUCAUACACACCGACAUGUACAUACUUUACACACACACACACUGAGCGGGGGUGCAGAUGGGGGCCUGAAGAGGGCCCCUUUUAUUCUCCCUCUCUGGGCCCUUGGAGGGUGUGGUGGGUGGUCCCGGGGGGGGUUUGGAGAGUACCCGGAAAACCUGCCUGGUCCUUGACCCACAGUGGCACAUCCUUGAUGAUAAUACGUUGUUGUAAAUUUGUAUUAUAUGAAGGUUGAUGUUGCUAUUUAUUGUUAUUGUUGUUAUCAUAACUGCAGCUGUACUUAUCAUUUUUGAUAAAAAAUGAAAAAAACAUUUUUGAUUUGAAAAAAAAACAGUCCUCCGCAGAGGAGGGGUGGUGGAGGGAAUAUACAUGUAAAAAAAAAUAAUUAUUAUAUGGAGGUUGAUGUUGCUAUUUAUUGUUAUUGUUGUUAUCAUAACUGCAGCUGUACUUAUCAUUUUUGUUAUUGCUAUUACUAUUGUUAUUGGCUCUAGUUGUUUUUCUUUUUAUUUAUUUUUAUUAUUUUUAUUUUCUUUUUGUUUUUCUUUGUUUCUGUGUUUUUUUUUCUUCAUAAUGGAAAUUUAAAAUAAAGUAGUCCUCCGUAGAGGAGGGGUGGUGGAGGGAAUAUGCAUGUAAAAAAAAAUAAUUGUCACGCAACAGGGGUGACAUAUAUCUCCCUGAGCCAAGUUUAGUGCACCUUAGUUAUCCAACCUGACCAUCUAGUCUCGAUACACCCAUAUAUAUAUGUGUGUAUAUAUAUAUAUAUAGAUAUUUUUUCUUUUUUUUGUGUUUUUUUUUUGCAAUCGACAAUAAAAAUAACGCAGUUCUCCGUGAA